rnacentral:piRNA from 1 species
UGGUACGCGCCAAUUACAUAC